CCUACGGGAGGCAGCAGUGAGGAAUAUUGGUCAAUGGACGCAAGUCUGAACCAGCCAUGCCGCGUGCAGGAAGACGGCUCUAUGAGUUGUAAACUGCUUUUGUACGAGGGUAAACGCAGAUACGCGUAUCUGUCUGAAAGUAUCGUAAGAAAAAGGAUCGGCUAACUCCGUGCCAGCAGCCGCGGUAAUACGGAGGAUUCAAGCGUUAUCCGGAUUUAUUGGGUUUAAAGGGUGCGUAGGCGGUCGGAUAAGUUAGAGGUGAAAUCCCGAGGCUCAACUUCGGGAUUGCCUCUGACACUGUGCGGCUAGAGAGUAGUUGCGGUAGGCGGAAUGUAUGGUGUAGCGGUGAAAUGCUUAGAGAUCAUACAGAACACCGAUUGCGAAGGCAGCUUACCAAGCUACUUCUGACGUUGAGGCACGAAAGCGUGGGGAGCAAACAGGAUUAGAUACCCCAGUAGUC
rnacentral:rRNA from 1 species